rnacentral:rRNA from 1 species
CUGGUUGGUGAGGUAACGGCUCACCAAGGCGACGAUCGGUAGCUGGUCUGAGAGGACGAUCAGCCACACUGGGAUUGAGAACGGCCCAGACUCCUACGGGGGGCAGCAGUGAGGAAUUUUCCGCAAUGGGGGCAACCCUGACGGAGCAACGCCGCGUGCAGGAGGAAGGUUUUCGGAUCGUAAACUGCUUUUCUGGGGGAAGAGACCGGACGGUACCCCAGGAAGAAGCCCCGGCUAACUACGUGCCGGCAGCCGCGGUAAUACGUAGGGGGCGAGCGUUGUCCGGAGUUACUGGGCGUAAAGCGCACGCAGGCGGCGCGCCAAGUUCGGGGUGACAGUGGGUGGCUUAACUGCCCAAGGACCUUGAAAACUGGCGCACUUGAGAGUCACAGAGGGACACAGAAUUCCGGGUGGAGUGGUGAAAUGCGUAGAUAUCCGGAGGAAUACCAACAGCGAAGGCAGUGUCCUGGGUGAUAUCUGACGCUCAGGUGCGAAAGCUAGGGGAGCGAACGGGAUUAGAUACCCCGGUAGUCCUAGCCGUAAACGAUGACCACCAGGUGUGCGGGGUAUCGACCCCCUGCGUGCCGUCGUUAACGCACUAAGUGGUCCGCCUGGGGAGUACGGUCGCAAGAUUAAAACUCAAAGGAAUUGACG